rnacentral:tRNA from 1 species
GCGGGGAUGCCGGAGCGGCCAAACGGGGUAGACUCAAGAUCUACUGGCUUAGUGCCUACGGGGGUUCGAAUCCUUCUCCCCGCA